GACGGAGGAUGCAAGCGUUAUCCGGAAUGAUUGGGCGUAAAGCGUCCGCAGGUGGCAGUUUAAGUCUGCUGUCAAAGACCGGGGCUUAACUUCGGAAAGGCAGUGGAAACUGAACAGCUAGAGUAUGGUAGGGGCAGAGGGAAUUCCUGGUGUAGCGGUGAAAUGCGUAGAUAUCAGGAAGAACAUCGGUGGCGAAGGCGCUCUGCUGGACCAUAACUGACACUCAGGGACGAAAGCUAGGGGAGCGAAUGGG
rnacentral:rRNA from 1 species